CCCGCCCGCAUUUAUGCGCCCUUUGGCGCAGUUGUGGCCCACUACUCCCUGCCUCAGCCACCAGAAGACGAAUUUCAUAGGAAAACAAUUGAAAAAGGAGGAAAAAGAACAGACCCUGGACGGCAUCUGGACACCGGGUUCUUCAGGAUUCUGGCGUCUGGUGCGAUGGAAAGACGUGGGGAAUGGGGCCUGUUCUCGCGUCGGUCCGAUGCGGAGGCUCAUCUCAUCGAGAUCACCCGCGUGGAUGGCAGCCGUCGUGCUUUGUGGAAGGGGGGUGGAGAAGCCGCGUUCCCUCGUCCUCGAGACGCGUCGCGGGUGCAUGUACUUGAACAGAGUCGCCUCGGACUCCAUAAGCCGCGCCACGAUGGACGAAUCCGAGCUGCAACCAUAACCGGGAGCUCAUAUUCCUCUACUGGAUGGCUAGGACUACUGGAGCGACUGGAGCACCGGGGACUUUGAUCAAGACUGGCCAGAGUCGCAACCUCGCUAAGGACGUGGCCUGCAUCCCUCCCAGCUACGACAGACUGCCCGAAUUAGCUGGUGCCGGUGUCCGGCAAGAUUAUCCGUGCCCAGCUUCCUGGGCGAACUCGCCGAAGCCUCGAAGCGUCUGCUCUUCUGGACAAAUGUCAGCAGCCAUCAGGCCAUCAUUCGGGCCCGAGUCGAUGGCAAUGAGCAUGUGGACCUGGAAGAAGUCACGACUCUGGCCUUAGACCAACAGUCCGAUAUCCCAUGCGUAUCGAUAAAAAUCCGUGCUUGCAUGCACAUCUCGCAGGUCUCUGCCUUCGGGAGAUUUGUGUCGGACGAUAAGACCGGACUGGAGAGGAGCGCAAUCACACGCAAUCACACGCAAUCUGCACAGUCGCACAAAGUGUUUCCACAUCUGCAUGGCCAGCGCAGUAUUCACGACGUAUGCUCGUGCCAGAUUCUGAUGCUCUGAUGCUACUGGAGGGCAAGGAGAAGUACGGCGUCUAUCCGGACAGAUAAUUUUAAGUGGCGGGAGUAGUGACAUAAAGAACGACUGUAUAUCCGCCUUCUGGCGCUGUGACGAAAGGACUGCCCGGCGGAUCAGUUCAGCUGGCAGUCAACCGAGGGCAGAGACAAGACUCUGAUCUGCGAUGGUACCACCAGUGACAGCUGUGACAAUGUCCACGAUGAGGCCGACUGCUGCAAGCGACCUGAGAGUUUCAGUGUCCCAUCAACCAGCUUUGCAUCGGCCGCCCUGCUCUGCGAUGGCCGUGCCUCGGAUAUUUUCGCGCACCGAACCAAAAAUCGAGCUUUAAUGGCUCCAUCGAAGAAAUUAAGUAACUAGACUUAAGACCGCUAGACCGCUUAGAAAUUAAAGACUUUAAAAAUGCAAUAGAGAACCUGCCGGCUAUGCCAUAUGAGGUGCAACGCGACCAAGCUGCGGAUGAAGAUGGAGCGAAAGACUAUGGAUGAGUAUGCCAGGCUACUACUACCACAAUGCUUUCUACAAGGACCCAAGGUCCGAAGGCGACACCAGUUUAAGGUACGCGCUUGUCCCCAACGAACGAAGGACAAGUUGCUCAGUAUGCCAAAAGCGGAAGAGGAUGAUUCGCCCGAAGAGUUUCAGCAUGAAUAGGCAAAAUUGGGAAAGUUAUUUUCUCCGGUAACCUUCUACGCCUUUGCAAAGUACGCGGACAAGGAAA